UACGGAGGGUGCAAGCGUUAUCCGGAUUCACUGGGUUUAAAGGGUGCGUAGGCGGCUUUGCAAGUCAGUGGUGAAAGCCCGCAGCUCAACUGCGGAACUGCCAUUGAAACUGCUUGGCUGGAGUGUUAUUGAAGUGGGCGGAAUACAUCAUGUAGCGGUGAAAUGCUUAGAUAUGAUGUAGAACUCCGAUUGCGAAGGCAGCUCACUAAAUGACAACUGACGCUGAGGCACGAAAGCGUGGGUAGCAAACAGG
rnacentral:rRNA from 1 species